rnacentral:rRNA from 1 species
UACGUAGGUGGCAAGCGUUGUCCGGAUUUACUGGGUGUAAAGGGCGUGCAGCCGGGCUGACGAGUCAGAUGUGAAAUCCCGCGGCUCAACCGCGGAACUGCAUUUGAAACUGUCAGUCUUGAGUACCGGAGAGGUCAUCGGAAUUCCUUGUGUAGCGGUGAAAUGCGUAGAUAUAAGGAAGAACACCAGUGGCGAAGGCGGAUGACUGGACGGCAACUGACGGUGAGGCGCGAAAGCGUGGGGAGCAAACAGG